UCCAACUUGUUCUAUUUGAAAAAGUGUUCACAUUGGGGAUAUGUACACUAUCUGAUCUCUUAACAUUUAUUAAGGCUUCUUGCCAAUAUAAUAUUCUCAUAAUUUUAUUCACUUCUUAAAAAAGCCAUCAAGAACCAAAUUGGGUAUAAAUAUCACCACCUACGUUAUCAUCAAAGCAUCUCAUUCAUAACCUUCAAGAAAUAAAAACGGAAUUGAAGAUAUGGCUGAAGAAAGAAUUGUUCUUCCUUCAGGAAAAUCCUCGUGGCCGGAACUCGUAUUCGUCGAAUCUUCCAUUGCCGUACAUCUUAUACAAAGAGACCGACCUGAUGUCAAACCAAUUGUGCUAUUAGCUGGAUCUCGCAUUACUGAAGAACUUAAUCUAACUCGAGUUCGAGUAAUUGUUAAUAUAAAAAAUAAAGUUGUUGAAGAACCUAUAGUUGGUUGAAGUAAUUUGAAUGUCUAUAUUUGGAACAACUAGGUUGUGAUUAAAUAAGGUAGAAUCUACACUACCCUUUUAAAUAAUUUGAAUUUUAUGUAUGGUUUGUUUGGAUGUAAAAGAUUACUCAUAUGUAUCUAGAUAUUUGUGUGGUCAUGGGAACACGUUUUUUCUAACGGCAAUAAAGCAUUUAUGUUGAUUAA